ACGUGCGAUAAAAAAAAAAAAAAAGCAUAUUAAACAGAGCACUAUCUAGUGUUCUGCAUUCGUACACGUGUCACGGUUUUGCGUCGUUGUUUGAUAACGAUGGUCUUGGUUUAGUAACUGCUUCUUUAGUAUGAUUUGUUUUACUUUGUAGAUAUGCUCAUUUAGAGUUCUCCAUUUAAUAAUGACAUGUCUUAAUCGAGAAGGGUUUUCUUAGUUGAAUUUCUUCGACUUUUUUAGAAAUGCAGUAUGUUAUAAUUACUCGAAAAAUAAUGGAAAUGAAACCGAUCAUCUUUUAAUCUUCGGGCUAAGAUAUUAAUUUUCGAUUGACAAUUUGUAUUGGGUUUUUUCUGCAGGGGUUUGAAGCACCAAAGUUGGUAACUUUCGGAGCAACACGCCAAUCACAGGUAGAAGCAGCUUCACCUAGCAUAGAGAAGCGUGCUGCUUUAAAAAAUAACCGAAGGCGUGGUUUUAUUUCCAAAACAAAUGAUAGCGCAAAAUCGAAGAAAGGAAAGGAAACUGAAAACGACGACGAUGUAGUAUGCGCGACCGCUCUGCUGGAUCUUUCGUUCAACAGAGAAAACGAAGUGCAGGGUGCGAGUGCUCUACUGAAGAUUUCAUCUCAGAAUUCUUGAAGAAGCCUGGAAAUAACCAGGAGGAGAGUCCAUGGAAGGUUUGCACUGUAAACCAUGUUGAGCAAGCAGAUUAUCUUGGCCUUCGCUCUCCUUUUUGUAUUAUUUAAUUUUAUUUUAUUGUGUUACUAUAUAUAUUUAUAAAUAUACCUUUUCUUUUUUUUUUUUCAAAAUCUAAAAACAUUGCUAAUUGGCUGAUCUAUUAAAAUAACAAGAGUUUGUUUUCUU